rnacentral:rRNA from 1 species
UACGUAGGGUGCAAGCGUUGUCCGGAAUUAUUGGGCGUAAAGAGCUCGUAGGCGGUCUGUCGCGUCGGCUGUGAAAACCCGGGGCUCAACCCCGGGCCUGCAGUCGAUACGGGCAGACUAGAGUGCGGUAGGGGAGACUGGAAUUCCUGGUGUAGCGGUGAAAUGCGCAGAUAUCAGGAGGAACAGCCGGUGGCGAAGGCGGGUCUCUGGGCAGUAACUGACGCUGAGGAGCGAAAGCGUGGGGAGCGAACAGG